rnacentral:rRNA from 1 species
CCAGACAGCCAGGAUGUUGGCUUAGAAGCAGCCAUCAUUUAAAGAAAGCGUAAUAGCUCACUGGUCGAGUCGGCCUGCGCGGAAGAUGUAACGGGGCUAAACCAUGCACCGAAGCUGCGGCAGCGACGCUUAUGCGUUGUUGGGUAGGGGAGCGUUCUGUAAGCCUGUGAAGGUGGCCUGUGAGGGUUGCUGGAGGUAUCAGAAGUGCGAAUGCUGACAUAAGUAACGAUAAAGCGGGUGAAAAGCCCGCUCGCCGGAAGACCAAGGGUUCCUGUCCAACGUUAAUCGGGGCAGGGUGAGUCGACCCCUAAGGCGAGGCCGAAAGGCGUAGUCGAUGGGAAACAGGUUAAUAUUCCUGUACUUGGUGUUACUGCGAAGGGGGGACGGAGAAGGCUAUGUUGGCCGGGCGACGGUUGUCCCGGUUUAAGCGUGUAGGCUGGUUUUCCAGGCAAAUCCGGAAAACCAAGGCUGAGGCGUGAUGACGAGGCACUACGGUGCUGAAGCGACAAAUGCCCUGCUUCCAGGAAAAGCCUCUAAGCAUCAGGUAACAUCAAAUCGUACCCCAAACCGACACAGGUGGUCAGGUAGAGAAUACCAAGGCGCUUGAGAGAACUCGGGUGAAGGAACUAGGCAAAAUGGUGCCGUAACUUCGGGAGAAGGCACGCUGAUAUGUAGGUGAAGCGACUUGCUCGUGGAGCUGAAAUCAGUCGAAGAUACCAGCUGGCUGCAACUGUUUAUUAAAAACACAGCACUGUGCAAACACGAAAGUGGACGUAUACGGUGUGACGCCUGCCCGGUGCCGGAAGGUUAAUUGAUGGGGUUAGCGGUAACGCGAAGCUCUUGAUCGAAGCCCCGGUAAACGGCGGCCGUAACUAUAACGGUCCUAAGGUAGCGAAAUUCCUUGUCGGGUAAGUUCCGACCUGCACGAAUGGCGUAAUGAUGGCCAGGCUGUCUCCACCCGAGACUCAGUGAAAUUGAACUCGCUGUGAAGAUGCAGUGUACCCGCGGCAAGACGGAAAGACCCCGUGAACCUUUACUAUAGCUUGACACUGAACAUUGAGCCUUGAUGUGUAGGAUAGGUGGGAGGCUUUGAAGUGUGGACGCCAGUCUGCAUGGAGCCGACCUUGAAAUACCACCCUUUAAUGUUUGAUGUUCUAACGUGGGCCCCUAAUCGGGGUUGCGGACAGUGUCUGGUGGGUAGUUUGACUGGGGCGGUCUCCUCCUAAAGAGUAACGGAGGAGCACGAAGGUUGGCUAAUCCUGGUCGGACAUCAGGAGGUUAGUGCAAUGGCAUAAGCCAGC